rnacentral:rRNA from 1 species
UACGUAGGGCGCAAGCGUUAUCCGGAAUCAUUGGGUUUAAAGGGUCCGUAGGCGGUUUAGUAAGUCAGUGGUGAAAGCCCAUCGCUCAACGGUGGAACGGCCAUUGAUACUGCUAGACUUGAAUUAUUAGGAAGUAACUAGAAUAUGUAGUGUAGCGGUGAAAUGCUUAGAGAUUACAUGGAAUACCAAUUGCGAAGGCAGGUUACUACUAAUGGAUUGACGCUGAUGGACGAAAGCGUGGGUAGCGAACAGG